rnacentral:rRNA from 1 species
CCCUUAGAUAUUCUGGGCCGCACGCGCGCUACACUGACGAAUGCAACGAGCUUAUAACCUUGGCCGAAAGGUCUGGGUAAUCUCCAAAUUUCGUCGUGAUGGGGAUAGAUUAUUGCAAUUAUUAAUCUUCAACGAGGAAUGCCUAGUAAGCGCAAGUCAUCAGCUUGCGUUGAUUACGUCCCUGCCCUUUGUACACACCGCCCGUCGCUCCUACCGAUUGAAUGGUCCGGUGAAGCGUUCGGACCGUGGCCUUUGGACGGUUCGCCGUCUGUUGGCUGCGGGAAGUUCGUUAAACCUUAUCAUUUAGAGGAAGGAGAAGUCGUANCA